AAGAACUGAACAGAGGAAGAGAAACAUCUGAGUCAUAGCACCACUAAUCAGCAGGUCUAGAAGGAGUCAUAGUACCACUAAUCAGGAGGUCUAGAAGGAGUCAUAGUACCACUAAUCGGGAGGUCUAGAAGGAGUCAUAGUAGCACUAAUCAGGAGGUCUAGAAGGAGUCAUAGUACCACUAAUCAGGAAGUCUAGAAGGAGUCAUAGUACCACUAAUCAGCAAGUCUAGAAGGAGUCAUAGUACCACUAAUCAGGAGGUCUAGAAGGAGUCAUAGUAGCACUAAUCAGGAGGUCUAGAAGGAGUCAUAGUAGCACUAAUCAGGAGGUCUAGAAGGAGUCAUAGUACCACUAAUCAGGAGGUCUAGAAGGAGUCAUAGUAGCACUAAUCAGGAGGUCUAGAAGGAGUCAUAGUACCACUAAUCAGGAAGUCUAGAAGGAGUCAUAGUACCACUAAUCAGCAAGUCUAGAAGGAGUCAUAGUACCACUAAUCA
ensembl:lncRNA